rnacentral:rRNA from 1 species
ACUCCGUGCCAGCAGCCGCGGUAAUACGGAGGAUCCGAGCGUUAUCCGGAUUUAUUGGGUUUAAAGGGAGCGUAGGCGGACGCUUAAGUCAGUUGUGAAAGUUUGCGGCUCAACCGUAAAAUUGCAGUUGAUACUGGGUGUCUUGAGUACAGUAGAGGCAGGCGGAAUUCGUGGUGUAGCGGUGAAAUGCUUAGAUAUCACGAAGAACUCCGAUUGCGAAGGCAGCCUGCUGGACUGUAACUGACGCUGAUGCUCGAAAGUGUGGGUAUCAAACAGGAUUAGAUACCCUGGUAGUCCACACAGUAAACGAUGAAUACUCGCUGUUUGCGAUAUACAGUAAGCGGCCAAGCGAAAGCGUUAAGUAUUCCACCUGGGGAGUACGCCGGCAACGGUGCAACUCAAAGGAAUUGACGG